CCCGCCGACCAUGGCUACGCCCCCGGUGGCCGGUCCCGCAGCUCUACGCUUCGCCGCCGCGGCUAGCUGGCAGGUUGUGCGCGGACGCUGCGUGGAACAUUUUCCGCGAGUACUGGAGUUUCUGCGAUCUCUGCGCGCUGUUGCCCCUGGCUUGGUUCGCUACCGGCACCACGAACGCCUUUGUAUGGGCCUAAAGGCCAAGGUGGUGGUGGAGCUGAUCCUGCAGGGCCGGCCUUGGGCCCAAGUCCUGAAAGCCCUGAAUCACCACUUUCCAGAAUCUGGACCUAUAGUGCGGGAUCCCAAGGCUACAAAGCAGGAUCUGAGGAAGAUUUUGGAGGCACAGGAAACUUUUUACCAGCAGGUGAAGCAGCUGUCAGAGGCUCCUGUGGAUCUGGCCUCGAAGCUGCAGGAACUUGAACAAGAGUAUGGGGAACCCUUUCUGGCUGCCAUGGAAAAGCUGCUUUUUGAAUACUUGUGUCAGCUGGAGAAAGCACUGCCUACACCGCAGGCACAGCAGGUUUCGUUGGGGCAAAACAUGUUAAGGGUAGAGUGUGGGGUGGCUGUAUCAAGGACUGUGGUCUUCAUACCUCUGUCCCUGCCCACAGCUU
rnacentral:sRNA from 1 species